rnacentral:lncRNA from 1 species
UUCUCGGCAUUUUCAUCAGACAUAUGGCCAGGAUGCUCCCGCUUCAGAUGGAGUUUAAGCUUGUAUUCAUGGAUAUAUGCCUUUUCACACCCUUCAUAAGGACAUGCAUAAGGACGUUCAGAUGAUGCAGAACCAUAAACCCCAGCAGGUGGCUUGGGAGUUUUUGUUAUCCUCUCGGGAGGAGUAGCGUAUCUGGGCACCUCCACUGCAGCAUUCUGAGAAAUCAAAUCUCGAAACUAAGAAUCAGAUAUGAUAUACGAGUUUUGAGAGAAAAUAUAUAUACAGACGAUCUUUGCUUCAUGCCAAUCAAUUUCUGAAAUUCAUGUUGGCAGAAUGGUAUUUUGAUGUCCUAUGUAUAUCAAAUAAAAUUAAAAAAAUAAAAAGAACAUAAUUAUGAUAACCAUUCUAGAUCUACAGUGAAGUCAACCAGCGACACAUGGGAUGAUCUUAAGAGUUUUAAGAAAAAUAGCAGAUGGUUUCUGUACUACAUCUUUCAGUGAUAAUAAUAACCAUUUGUACUAUGACCAUACUAAAGGUGAAAUGAAUACAAUUCCACUAGAACACAAACAUUCAUAUGUUGCCAUUGUUAACAGACUUGAAGGAUAUCUUUAGAAAAGAAAUAAGUAAAAUUCCUUUUGACAGAUGACUAAUAUAAUCUGAGAUGAAACCGAAGUCAUGUUGCUUUAAACGUCAUAAACUAUAUAAGAUAUGUUCUAUGAAAGGAAUUAACUUAAAAUGCAACAAAAAAAGCAGGAAAAAUAUCUAAAAUAGCAAAGAAAAAUACUAAAAAGGCGUUGGUACUGCAAAAUAGUAACAGCAAGGAAAUAGCACCAACCUUUUCAGAAAUACCCCCACAAUGCUUUUGUUGGGGUUCAAACUACUGUCCUCCAAGUUGGAGGGCAGCAGCCCUGGCCACUCGGGCUGAGCCGAGUGGUUCUUUUAAGUUGAUUAUUGGUACAAGACUCGUGGGAUGAGAAAGUACGGUAAGCUGUCGAAUGAUCAAGUGUACACAUCCAGAAGAAAUAGUUGAAGAAAUAUAUGAUCGUCAAAUGGAUCGCUAUUUAGUAUUGGACCUUUCUUCAGUAUUCCUAGACAUUAUGGAUUGUGGAAGAAUGGCGCAUUUAUUUAAAAAUCUAUAUAUGUUGAAUUCAUACAUAAGAAAUUAGGGAUCUCUAAAUUACCGAUCCGGAUGAUGUUUUUAUUUACAAAGAGAGUCUAAUGACAAUAUAAUGAGAGGAUAAAGAGCCUCUUGGGUGUAGCUCAACCAGCCAUGAAUAUUUAUUGCAAUUACAAUAACUUAAGUUUGAGUAAUAAGUUCUAAUAGUCCCGAAUACAUUAAAUACAUGCAUUAAGAUACGAAGACUUCUUAUUCCAAAACAACGAAAGUACUUUUUCACUCUUCCAUAUACUAAUGGAUUUCAAUUGGAAAAGAAAAUGAUCCAUACUAAUGGAUUCAGGUCCAUAACCAUGGGUUCCAAUGCACGAAAUCUUAUAGCACUUACCUAUGUGGCCUUAUUAACUAGUAGUAAAUAGAAGAAAUUAAUUAUAAACAUUAAUACAAGUAGAUUUGGGAUCAAGGAUUAGUGUGUAGUGGGUGAAAUUUCUAUCCCUAUCCAAUUUUUUUUUCAAAUAAAGGAAUAUUAAAAAGAGAGAAGAUAAAUUAUCCUAAUUUUUCCAAUUUUCAUGGCAUAUCUUAGAUUUAAGUUCUACAUGCAUUGCCUGGUAAAAUGGUUUACGCUCUACAUGCCUGGGAAAUUACAAGUGGGUGAUUGAUGUUAUUUCCAAAUGGAUUGCCAAUUUAUGAUCAAAGCUUUGUUAGAGCCAGCACAAAAGUCAACAAUUAAUGAAUCCAAUUCCCUCUUUAUGACACUAACUGAUUAACUUAUUCAUGUUGUGGUCUCCCCUCUCUUUCAAAUCAUUUAUGUUCUGAUGAUAUAACGAUUGAAAUUUUGUCAAGCUUACCAGUCAAGUCUCUUAUGCGGCUCAGGUGCAUAAAUUUUGGCAUGAUGAGUUGAUUGCAUCAGCUUUGUGUUUAUCCCAAGAUGAAAAAUUCACAAAUUCGUCAUAUGAAAUUCUUUAGCGAAUCACCAAUAUUUUAAAAUUAAAAAUUUUUAACUUUAUUUAUAUGCUGCAAUGAGAGAAAAAAAGAUGCUGAAAGCAAGCAGAUAAAAGAUGACAGAGAACCUGUUUGUAAGGGUUAGAUACAUACAAGGUGCCCUUACCAGAAGGGUGAAGGAAACAUUUUUAUAUGCUUCAGUCUUCGUACUCAGUCUCCUCAUCAUCAUCUUCAUUAUUUUGCCCGUACCUAAAUCCAUCCUCAACAUUGUCACGAUCUUCCUCAGUUUCUUCACUAUCUUCUUCCUCGUAAACUUCUUCUUUAGGAGUCCAUUGUUGCUUUCUCACUACAUUCAAGGUGGCAGGAGAUGGAGUUGAGCUUUUGCGUUGCGUUACUUUUGCAGGAGGCAUCUUCAAGUUUGGCUUCGCCCGGCUUUGUUUUUGACUUUUACCAUUAACACGUUUUCCAGCAUAGGCAUCUUGGUCACUGCCUUCAUCCAUCUCAUUAUCAGCAUUAGUUGUGGCAUUCUCGGCAUUUUCAUCAGACAUAUGGCCAGGAUGCUCCCGCUUCAGAUGGAGUUUAAGCUUGUAUUCAUGGAUAUAUGCCUUUUCACACCCUUCAUAAGGACAUGCAUAAGGACGUUCAGAUGAUGCAGAACCAUAAACCCCAGCAGGUGGCUUGGGAGUUUUUGUUAUCCUCUCGGGAGGAGUAGCGUAUCUGGGCACCUCCACUGCAGCAUUCUGAGAAAUCAAAUCUCGAAACUAAGAAUCAGAUAUGAUAUACGAGUUUUGAGAGAAAAUAUAUAUACAGACGAUCUUUGCUUCAUGCCAAUCAAUUUCUGAAAUUCAUGUUGGCAGAAUGGUAUUUUGAUGUCCUAUGUAUAUCAAAUAAAAUUAAAAAAAUAAAAAGAACAUAAUUAUGAUAA